GGCAGCCACCCAGUAGGUUGAGACCCUGAGAGGAGCUCUGGAGGAGAAGGACAAGCAGCUGGGAGGCAUGAAGGAAGACAACAGCCACCUGAAGGAGGAGAGAGAGCGUCUGAGGGACCAGCAGGGUAGGCCCCAGCUCCCCGGCCUGGCCGAGCCACGUACCCCGGACAUCAUCAAUGAACUGGAGUCGGACAUCACCCAGCUGAAGACCUCAGGAGAUGCCUGGAGGAGGACCAUAGAGGACCAGCGGGGGCACCUCCUCUCCUCCCAGCAGUCUCUCAUGGCGCAGCAGAAUGAGUUGGAGCAGGCCCACCAACGCCACGAGCAGAGCAGAGAGAACUACGAUAGGCUGAUCCACGCCAAGGACGAGGAGAUUGGGCGCCUGCAGCAGGAAGUAGUAGAUCACUUCGGCCCUACCCGAUACUCCCAGGAACAGGAAAUGGUCAUUCUCCAACGGGAAGACGAGACCAAGUCGUCCCUGAAUAACAGGGAGAACGGCAACGAGAAACACGACCUGUCCAAGAUGGAGGUAGAGAGACUAGUGAAGGCAUUAAGGAGAAGGAGACGGAGAUCAGCCAGCUGAAUCAGAAGAACCAGAACCUCACCAGACAGCUGGACCAGCUGGUGGUCUCCAGAGAGGAGAUGGGGAAGCUCAGCCAGAUGGUCUAGCAGAAAGACGUAGAGAUCCAGGCGCUGCACUCCCACGUCUCCCUGGGGGGGACGAGGCCACAGCCAAGACGUGAUGUUCCUCCAGCAGCAGCUGCGGGCCUACGCCGUGGAGAGAGAGCAGGCCCUGGCGGUGCUGAAUGAGAAGACGAGGGAGAACAGCCGGCUGAGGGGAGACUACCAGCACAUCAUUGACAUUGUAGCAGGGAAGGAGGCUCCUCAAGGUCCAGCAGGAGAACAUGAG